GGCGGUGGCGGCGGCAGGGGCCAGGAGAGUGUGCUCUGACAUCACGGAGGAUUUCCAGGGGUCCUCAGCCUGAUGCCCUGAAGAAAAGCCCCUCAGUGAGGGAAGGAAGGGGAAAUAGCACAGAGCUCAUUUCAGGAGGAGCCAUUGCAGUUCUGUGGACACCCAAGGGACUCUGGGGGACCCGGUCCUGCCACAGGAAGAUAAAGUGCCUCACGGCUAAGGUUGGCAGAAGGAGCUGGACAAGUCCUUCUGGUGAACCCUAACAGGAUCUGAACACAGUCACACGCUGCAUAAUGACGUCAUGGUCAACAACAGACCACACAUGUGACGAGAUCCUCUCCACAGAGGCAGUGAAGAAAGCAAACACUCCUGUUACUGAACAAGCAUUAGACCAGAACGUGACGUGCAUCACAGGCCGUCCACCAGCAGAUGGCAGAGACAGAAAGGACUCUCCCCUUACCCAGCCACGCAGACACAGCCCGCUACGGCCAUGUCCCAGGAUGGUCCGUCACUAGCCCCCAAAGUUUGAUUCACUGGGUCUCCCUGUCCAGAGGACUGGGGCUUCCAGGAACCUGCAAACAUCUGCAUAAUUCCCAGACAACAGUAGGAAUAGAGUGACUUCCUCUGAUUGAACAUAGGAAGAGAGGCUGGACCACCGCCUGGGCAUCGGCCUGUGAAGAGGGAAAGACUCCAGGUCAUCCAGAUGUCACACACACCGCAGAAAGCGGGAAGUUUCCGAGGAAACUGCAGAGAAAGCACCAAUACCUACCAGAAAAGGCAAGGAGAGAUUAAGCUGAGUGAAAGAUUAUCCCAAAACUGAGCAGCUGCUGCUAGGCUCUGAGCAAGUCUGUCCUUGCCAUCCUGCCACCUUUCCUUAACUCGGUCGAGACAAAGGGAGUUAACAAUAGUGUGCAAUUUUGAUCUGUCCCGGGUCCAUGCCAGCGAAAGUUGAGAAAGCCUCAACAAACUGCUGAUGGAAACCAGUGGAGGACUCACCUAUCUUCUGCAUGCACUGCUGCAACUUCUCCCAGGGCACAUUUAUCAGAGAGGCUUCAAGUCCUGUCCUUAGCAACCCCUCUUGGGGGUCUCUAAUGCACCUAAUCCUUCCAUGGUUGGAUGGAGUGCUGAAGAGUCGACUUCUCUUGGCCGCAGCACCCCAUCUCCGGGUCCACGAUGAGCAUGCUCCAUCAAAUAAGCGAAAUCUGCUGGCUGCAGAAUUCCCUGCAGCAUCUAGCACAACAUCCCCACGUGUGGCUGUAAACUGAAAACACGCCGCAGAGCAUUUUUGCAAACUUCUGUGGAUCUUCCCAGGGCACUGGGAAAAAGCCUUUAGAUUAAUGUUAUCAGCAGGAGAGGAGAACACAUGAACUCUUAAUAUUUCCUUUGUGCCUGAGAGGCCUGGAUAGCUUCUCAGCAGCAUCAACUUUGCUGGAGAUUGAGUAGGAAGGGCUGGUUUUCCUCACAUGGAGAUGGGAAAAGGGUAGGAUUACAUGGCACCUUGGUUUCUUUUCCCAUAUUGAUAUUUAUCAGCCUAAUUCCUUUCUUGUAUAUCUUUUCCCAAGUAACUAGUGCAACUACUCUCCAUCCUGUUGCCUUCGUAUGGGGACACAGUCUCAUCAUCCCGUGAUCUUGAUCAUUUAUCUUUACCGUUUCUGCCUUUCCAGCGAAGUGGUGUGUGCAUGGAAGGGGACUCUUGGAGGUGGAAUCUGGUCUAGGACCUGAAGUGGACUCGGGGCUGGGCCAGCAGGCACACAAUUCUACAUCUUCAAACAGGGCAGGCAACACAUUAUCAGCUAAAAAAGCCCCUGCCUUCUGGCAGCUAAGUGAAGCAUUUAGGACCAACGGUUGUCUGAUGACCUCUGCUGAUCUCCCAGGAUGGAGAUGUCACCCAUCUCUGAUGGAGGUACCUCUCAGUGUUCCAGCAACCUGACAGGGUCAGAGUUUUCUUUUGUCUAUUUGAAGUCCUUCCCACUAUAAAUUAACAGAUAAAUAUCAUAAGAUAAUUAAUUUAUCAUGAGACCUAGAAGAUUCUUUACUGUCUUAACAGAG
ensembl:lncRNA